UUGCUUUAAGUUUCAAUAUUCUACAAGUUGAAAUGUUGAUUUAAAUGAUAAAAUUCCAUCUAUGUAUGUAAGACUAUAAGCAUUUCCAAAACUAGAUGUGUGCACACGGUGUCUUCAGUGCUUACUCCCACACUCCGUCCGACUAUGUAAUUCGCUCUGAUCAACUAAUCUGUCUACGUGCCCUGCACACCGCAUUGCAUUAUCUUGCAUUAUCCAUCGCGCAAAUCUCGCCUGAGAAAAUGAGAAAAGCAAGAAAAAACGUUGUGCGUGCGCUCGAAAUUAAAUUGUUAUCAAAUCGAUCAAAGCCGCAGCAUCAUUAUCUGCGCAUUAGUCGUGGCUGGCCAGUGUGUAUACAAAUUUAUAUAUAUACACACACAUACAUAUGUAUAUAUAUAAAAAGAGCAGCUGAGAGGAAGAAAAAAAAAAACUGUAAUCUGUUAUAAAAAGAGCUUGACUAUAUUGUGAGGGAAACGAGCUCUUGAUAAGCCAGUUUUUUACUCCCACUUUUUGUGUUGCAUUAGUCGUGCAAGUGCAACAUUGGGCGCACUGGUGGGCGUGGCCAGGAGUGUCCAGUGCUAUUUUCGCCCGCUUGGUGUUGAGUGUGGAACUAUUCGUGGCGCCUCCACUCUGUGUAGCUGGGCAAUAACUUCUAAUUAAUACACGAAAAGCAUAACGAAAGCUAAUUAUGAAACUAAUGAGCUCGUUGGCAAUGCAAGAGCUUCACGAAGCGGGAAACAAGCAGCUAAAGCAAUGGCAACAACAACAAUUAGUUACAUGUAAGAGUGCUUUGGGUGGAGUCUGCUCGACUAGGAUAUACCGGCUGGAUGGAAGAGAGUUGCUAGAGUUGAAGAACUCGGAAGAUUUGAAAUGAAAUUUGUUUCAAGUUUUAUUUAUUAUGGAUAUGUCUUAAGACAGAUAAGAGUGGUUUAAGUGGAGUCUGCGCGACUAGGAUAUACGAUUUAGAUGGAUGAGAUGAGCUAGAGUUGAAGAAGAUUUAAGUUGUAUUUGAUAUUUUCUCAAGUUCAAGGUAUUAUUGAUAUUAGAUAUUUAUUAUAACAGAUAAGUGGAGUAUGCUCGACUAGAACAUACCUUUUAAGUGAAAGAGAUUUUUAGCCAACCUCUUUUCUACAUAAUAUUAUGAUAUCUACUGCUCAAGCACCAGAAAAAGUCAAUUAAUACUUAUAAAUUUAGUUUAUCAUAGAUCAUAUACUGAUUUGCAUAUGUUUCGCUCUCUCCCUGUCAUACCUGUUUCCCCACUGGCGUAGAGGGUAUAGCAACCUUAAGUGUUAACGACGCUGUGCUUAACAAGACGAGCGCCGCCGUUCGCAGCCGCCGCUCCAGGUGCGAAAUACCAUGAAAGAGUAAAACGCGAAUGGUCGCAGCCUACCUUGGGAUACAAUGCACACGCACACAUACGUAUAUAUUUAUGUACAGCAUACUUGAUUAUGGGCUUUGGUCAGUCAGAGCCAGAGCCAGAGCCAGAGCAAGAGCAGCAGCAGCUGAAGGAGGAGUGGCUGGAGCAGGGGCAGGAGGCAGCAGCAGGGGCAACAUAAAGAAAGGGGCUGGGCGCUGGACGUCGCCGGCCAUCAGUCACUUAUGCGCACGGCACGUCACUCAAAGCGGACACACACACA
rnacentral:sRNA from 1 species